rnacentral:misc_RNA from 1 species
AGCAGCCGCGGUAAUUCCAGCUCCAAUAGCGUAUAUUAAAGUUGUUGCAGUUAAAAAGCUCGUAGUUGAAUUUCGGGAUCAAUAUGUUGGUCGUGCCUCGGUACGUACUAGCAUAUUGGUUUUCUCCUUUCUGAAGAACCAUGAUGUCAUUUAUUUGGUGUCGUGGGGGAAUCAGGACCGUUACUUUGAAAAAAUUAGAGUGUUUAAAGCAGGCUCACGCUUGAAUACAUUAGCAUGGAAUAAUGAAAUAGGACGUUUGAUUCUAUUUUGUUGGUUUCUAGGAUCGACGUAAUGAUUAAUAGGGAUAGUUGGGGGCAUUAGUAUUCAAUUGUCAGAGGUGAAAUUCUUGGAUUUAUUGAAGACUAACUACUGCGAAAGCAUUUGCCAAGGAUGUUUUCAUUAAUCAAGAACGAAAGUUAGGGGAUCGAAGACGAUCAGAUACCGUCGUAGUCUUAACCAUAAACUAUGCCGACUAGGGAUCGGAUGAUGUUAAUUUUUUUAAUGACUCAUUCGGCGCCUU